GAUUCGGGCGCGGCCGGUGGGACGGCCGCAGGAAUGGAACCCGACGGCCUGUUUUCGUGAGCGGCCCGCCGCCCGGCCCCGGGGCGUGCGCG
rnacentral:ncRNA from 1 species